rnacentral:lncRNA from 1 species
CAAAACGUUCAUUUAUCAAAAGGUUUGCACAUGAUAUAAUCACAACACGUGCAAUUGUUUUUUGCACAACAUGAGGAGAUACAAUAGUGAAACAUUUAGGGAAAAAAUGGGGUGUCUUUGCACCAAUUUGGACACAAUAUCAGUUUUCCUAGAGAUAGGAGUUCGCACGAUUUCUACUAGACUUAUUAAAACUGAUGGGGAUACAUUUCUUUCAUCUCACUUCUCGCUUCCCACGUGGCCUCUUUGACUCGUUGACUUCGCC